rnacentral:rRNA from 1 species
UACGAAGGGGGCUAGCGUUGCUCGGAAUCACUGGGCGUAAAGGGCGCGUAGGCGGCCAUUCAAGUCAGAGGUGAAAGCCCAGGGCUUAACCCUGGAAUUGCCUUUGAUACUGUUUGGCUUGAGACCGGAAGAGGUAAGUGGAACUGCGAGUGUAGAGGUGAAAUUCGUAGAUAUCAGGAAGAACACCCGUGGCUAAGGCGGCUCUCUAGUACGGUACUGACGCUGAGACGCGAAAGCGUGGGGAGCGAACAGG